rnacentral:lncRNA from 1 species
CAAGCAGCCACCUGGCCUCAGACUAGCCUGGCUUUGCCGUUUCCUUUGGCAGCUCCCAAGACCCGAGGGUAAGAGUCCUGGGUGCCUGGGACCUACCAGGCCAUCCUGCAUCUCCCAUGGGCCUCCCGACCCAGGGACCCCCAUUCUUAUCUGAGAGGACCACCUCUUCCUGAAGCUGGAACCUGAUACUUAUUGUUGCCAACUGAAACCAGGAGAAUCUUGAUGACCUGGAUGAGCUUGAGGCCUCCUCCUCUGUCUCUUCCCAAUCCCCAGAGCUUUGCACACACUGUAUUUAUCAGAGUAUAAUGUGAACUUGAAAUGGCCGUGUGUUGGGCUCCUUGUGGCUAAUCUACAUUUCUCCAGCCCCCGUUGUGGAGAUGCUCGCUGGCUGUAUUCCUCUAGUAUACCCCAAACCUUGAAUAGGUUCGAACGAAACAAAGAAGAGGCAACUAAUGGGAAUUUGGUAGCGUGCUGAAGAGGCCUUUGAGGAGAAACUGUCGGUGUCUGACAGUGAGGUCGUCAGGGGGGUAGCUUCAUAGUUCUCUGGAUGUGACUGUGACGCUUGUCUCCGCCAGUGAGAUGUGAGGAGAAGCAGGCUGUGCCAGCCCCAGUCCCAAGCCUUGAGACUAGCACUCGAGAGGCAAAAGCAGGAGGAUUUCUGAGGUUCGAGGCUAGCUAGGACAGCCAACGCUACAAAGAGAAGCCUUGUCUUGAAAAAACAAAACAAAGCAAAACCAAGAGCAAACCAACAAAAACCAAAACAACAACAGCAGCAACAACAAAAAGAAUUUGCUGAUUCCUAUGACCCCAAAGAGCAAGCCAGAAAUAAUAGAUGGAACAAAAAUCUGGGCCCAGAAUAAAGACCUUGCUACGUGCUAUGACUAUCCUACGAGGAGCAAUCCUGAUGGAUCCAGAUUAUUAGCUGCUUGUCACUGGGGGCCUCCAACACCAGCCUGGGAAUCAUGAUGUCAAGGAAGAUGGGUUGUGGAUUCCAGAAGCUCCCAGGGUGAAGCAGAUUUUCCCAGGGAGCAAAUAUCUCAAAUGAAAUACAACCAAACUCCAGCACAGUGGGGAAACUGGGUCUCCGUAUGUAAAAGACUGAAGUUGAUGGGCUGGAGAGA